rnacentral:rRNA from 3 species
UAAAGCGAUUCAGCGGGUUACGAUUGACGGAGCGAAGCGACGUCAAAGCGUAUACAAAGUCGAGUCGGUUUAAGGAUACGUUCGUUGGGUAGGGGAGCGUUCUGUAAGCCCGUGAAGGUGGCCUGUGAGGGUUGCUGGAGGUAUCAGAAGUGCGAAUGCUGACAUAAGUAACGAUAAAGCGGGUGAAAAGCCCGCUCGCCGGAAGACCAAGGGUUCCUGUCCAACGUUAAUCGGGGCAGGGUGAGUCGACCCCUAAGGCGAGGCCGAAAGGCGUAGUCGAUGGGAAACGGGUUAAUAUUCCCGUACUUGGUGUUACUGCGAAGGGGGGACGGAGAAGGCUAUGUUGGCCGGGCGACGGUUGUCCCGGUUUAAGCGUGUAGGUGUGUGUUCCAGGUAAAUCCGGUUCACUUUAACACUGAGGCGUGAUGACGAGGCACUACGGUGCUGAAGCAACAAAUGCCCUGCUUCCAGGAAAAGCCUCUAAGCAUCAGGUAACAUCAAAUCGUACCCCAAACCGACACAGGUGGUCAGGUAGAGAAUACCAAGGCGCUUGAGAGAACUCGGGUGAAGGAACUAGGCAAAAUGGUGCCGUAACUUCGGGAGAAGGCACGCUGACACGUAGGUGAAGUGAUUUACUCACGGAGCUGAAGUCAGUCGAAGAUACCAGCUGGCUGCAACUGUUUAUUAAAAACACAGCACUGUGCAAACACGAAAGUGGACGUAUACGGUGUGACGCCUGCCCGGUGCCGGAAGGUUAAUUGAUGGGGUCAGCGCAAGCGAAGCUCCUGAUCGAAGCCCCGGUAAACGGCGGCCGUAACUAUAACGGUCCUAAGGUAGCGAAAUUCCUUGUCGGGUAAGUUCCGACCUGCACGAAUGGCGUAAUGAUGGCCAGGCUGUCUCCACCCGAGACUCAGUGAAAUUGAACUCGCUGUGAAGAUGCAGUGUACCCGCGGCAAGACGGAAAGACCCCGUGAACCUUUACUAUAGCUUGACACUGAACAUUGAGCCUUGAUGUGUAGGAUAGGUGGGAGGCUUUGAAGUGUGGACGCCAGUCUGCAUGGAGCCGACCUUGAAAUACCACCCUUUAAUGUUUGAUGUUCUAACGUGGACCCGUAAUCCGGGUUGCGGACAGUGUCUGGUGGGUAGUUUGACUGGGGCGGUCUCCUCCUAAAGAGUAACGGAGGAGCACGAAGGUUGGCUAAUCCUGGUCGGACAUCAGGAGGUUAGUGCAAUGGCAUAAGCCAGCUUGACUGCGAGCGUGACGGCGCGAGCAGGUGCGAAAGCAGGUCAUAGUGAUCCGGUGGUUCUGAAUGGAAGGGCCAUCGCUCAACGGAUAAAAGGUACUCCGGGGAUAACAGGCUGAUACCGCCCAAGAGUUCAUAUCGACGGCGGUGUUUGGCACCUCGAUGUCGGCUCAUCACAUCCUGGGGCUGAAGUAGGUCCCAAGGGUAUGGCUGUUCGCCAUUUAAAGUGGUACGCGAGCUGGGUUUAGAACGUCGUGAGACAGUUCGGUCCCUAUCUGCCGUGGGCGCUGGAGAACUGAGGGGGGCUGCUCCUAGUACGAGAGGACCGGAGUGGACGCAUCACUGGUGUUCGGGUUGUCAUGCCAAUGGCACUGCCCGGUAGCUAAAUGCGGAAGAGAUAAGUGCUGAAAGCAUCUAAGCACGAAACUUGCCCCGAGAUGAGUUCUCCCUGAGACUUAGAGUCUCCUGAAGGAACGUUGAAGACGACGACGUUGAUAGGCCGGGUGUGUAAGCGCAGCGAUGCGUUGAGCUAACCGGUACUAAUGAACCGUGAGGCUUAACCUUACAACGCCGAAG